ACCCCGGUAUUAUUGCUGUUAUGGGUUUGAAUCGAGCUUAGCCUUGUUCAUUUUUUUACACAACACCCCCGUAAAAAAUACAACACGGCCCGCUCAAGCCCGCUAUUCCCGAGCCGUUCAAUCCCAAAAAACCGCCCCAAAAAGCCCCAAAAAUGGCUAGGCCUCGCUUGACUUCGGCAU
rnacentral:sRNA from 1 species